GUGCUUGCUUCAGCAGCAUAGGCACUAAAAUUGGAACGAUACAGAGAAGCGUAGCAUGGCCCUGUGUAAGGAUGACAUGCACAUUCAUGAAGCGUUCCAUUUCUUA